UCAGGAAAGAGAGGAAAGAAAAGAAGAAGAAGAAAAAGAGAAAAGAGAAAGGGCCUUGCAUGUACACGCAUGGACACCUUGUCGAGCCAACUCAACUACAUAUCACAAUGCUCAGUAAGUUCUCACGUGCCCUCAUUCGUCCAAUUGAAGUAGUUUUCAAAGUUAGGGCACAAAUUCGAGGUUAAGUUGAUUUUGAGUUUCGAGGUUUCAUUAAGGAGUUUUUGGAGCUACGAUUUUUGUGGUAGUCUUGGCUAUUGUAGAGUCGUGGGAUUUUACAAAUCUUAAUUUAAGUUUAUAGUUUGCUCAACACAAAAUUUUGAAGUUUCCUGUGCGUGAUGAACAGUGCGCGCCUAGCAAUUUCAAGGUUGUAUUUCGUUGAUUUCUAGCUUGAUUUUGGAUUGGCUAACUUGAGGUUCUUGUAAUAUGUUGAAAUGGCUUUCUAUUGACUGUAAAUGCAUUUGAAACGAAGUUCGGUCGAAAGAGUUAUGGCGUGACCAAGUUUCAAGCUCAAGCUUCACAUUGCGAACACUUUGAUUAAUCACUUUGGAUAUAAGAUUUGUUAGGGCGUUAGAGUUAUUUUGUUAGUGGUUAAGCUUAGUUUAUUCGAGCAGUAGUUGAGACAGUGUUUUACUUGGUUUUGAUGCUAUUUCUCGCUUAUGAUAGGAUUGCGAGUUCGUUGAUUCAAGUGAGCCUUAUUAUUUGGUUUGGGGCAUAUCCAAGCGAGUAGUGCUAUCUCUCCUUUUAAUUUGUAAACUCAUAUUUUAAAAAUGAAAAGUUUGAGGUAUAUUAUGUGUACAUUGUGAAGUGGCUAAAAGGUAAAAGUACUAUCAUAGCAUAUUUGAUGCAUAACUUCAGAUUGUGCAUUUACUAGUCUUUAUUCAUUUGAGAAAGGUUUGAGAAAUGUGUUAUGGAAGGUGUCAUGAAAGUUGUGAACUGAUUUGUGGAAUGGGUUCUUUAAGAUAUGAAAUUUGAAAUGGGGUGAGAAAUAAAUUGUGAAUGCCUGAUGAACAGAGUUGGGAGAGAGGAUAUAUUUUGGGUUUGUGGGAUGCUUUCGUGAAAGAUUUGUGUUGAUUUGAGUAUGGUUUGUAAAAUAUAUCUAAUUCAAUAUGUGAACGAGAUUUAUGAUAUGGAUUCUAAAUUGGUUUUGUAGAGAAUUGAUUGAUGAAAAGUUAAGUUUUGGUUUGUGAAGCUAAUUGUGAUGUAGACUGGUAAAGAACUAAGUGUUAUAUGAUAAUAUAAUUUCAUGGCAGCCACCUCUAGAGCAUUUACUAUUGAUAUAAGUUAGUCAAGGAUUAAGUGCUACAUGAAAACGUAACUUUGUGGAAGCCACCUAUAGGGCCUUGUAUUACUUAAGGGCUAAGUACUACACGAUAACGUAGUCUCGAGGGAGUCAUCUCUAGGUCCUUAAGAUGUGAUGUGCUAUGAGAUUUAUCGGUGGGAUAGACCAUUGUUGUGUGAUACGAGUUUGAUUAAUGGAAUGAAUCAUUGACAUGGAAUAUGACAAGUUCAAUUUUUGAACCGAACCAGUGAUACUUGUUUUGAUAUUAUGGACAAAUGGGAAAUUAUGCUAUUGAUAUAGCUAGUUUGAAAUAUUAAAUAAUUCAUUUUAUUCUUGCAAUUUGUAAAAUUGGAUUGAUAUAAGUGAGUCACAUCUUUGAGUUCUAAAUGUGUAAGGUGGAGGCUUGAUCUACUUAUAAGAUAUGUACUAUGUAUUGAGCUGUGGUUGCUCACUUCUCUCUUUCCCAAUCUUUUCAAGUUCCUCACUUGGUGGCCAUUAGAGCAAGAGCAUUAUCAUAGGACCUUUUGAAGUUGGAUUGUGGUGGUUCGAGGUUAUAUAUUUCGAGUGUAAGGAUGGUUGUGUCAUUUCCAUCCCUGUAGGAUUUGAGGUGUGACACUAGCAUUGCUACUUUAGACUUUUAUUUAAAUAAUAUUCACUUUAGGCCUUUAUUUUAGAAACGAAAAGGACUUCAAGUCUUUAUUUAAAACAAGAUCAACUUCAAGUCCUUAAUUGAGAAAAUGAAUGUACUUCAUAUCUUUAUUUGGAAGUUUUAGUGAACUUUUGAUUUUUUUUUUCCCUCCUUCUUCCUCCUUCCUUUUUCCUCUAAUCGGCAGUGGUGAGUGCUAGCGAGGCUCGUCCCUGCCGAGCACUAGCAUUGGUGAGCCUCACUUAGCGAUGAUGAGGCCCUGCCAGAUUUGGCGAGGCCACAACUUCCCAUGGCUAGUGAGGCUUGCGCAGCCCAGAGACUGCAUGAGGUCACGCUUCAUCCCCCCGGGCUUUGGCAAGGCACUUGUCGAAUCUGGUGAGGUAAGGCAUCAUCAUGGCUAGUGAGGCUCAACUCUCGCUAGAUUUGGUGAGGGCGAGCCUUGCCUAACCAUUCGCAGCCCUCACCAGAGUUGUGCAAAGUUGCGCAAUGGCAACCGGCUAGAGGAAGGAGGAUGAAGUGAAGAAAAAAAGAAUGAAAAAGGAAAAUAAGAAAAAAAUUAAUAAAAAAUAAGAUAAAAAUAAAAUAUUAUUAAAAUAUUAUACACGUUAGCGUCGACCGAAUAGUCGGCUAAAAUUAGGCGAAUGGACUAAAUUGACACAAUUGUAAAAAUUUUAGAAUUAAGUUAACAAAAAAUAAAAAGGUUUAUGACUAAAUUGGAAAAAUUACAAUAUAUUUAUAACUGUUAUUGUAAUUUUUCCUGGAAUUUUCCCAACCCGUGGGUAAGCUCUAGGCUUGCAAUUGAAGAGAAAAGCUGCUAAAAGUCAUUUUUACGGUGGCCAAUAUUCCUCUGCCCAUUUAAUUUCCAAUCUAUUAUCUUUUUCUCCCUUUUUUCCUUUCUUAUUAUGGAAUAUCAAAUGGCAGGCGAAUUGCCCAAAAAGUUCUAAAUGUGUUGCACUUGUGCUAAUAAUGUAAAAUUUUUCAAUUUGGCCAAUUAAAUCCUAACUCUUUUUUUACCAAAAAUAAAAUUAAAAACCCAACACUUUUAAUGAUUUGCCAAAAUAUAAAUGCUGACCAUCCUACACAGUAUAAUUGAUGCUAACGUAGCCAAUUCUAUAAUUUUUAAGUAAUUUAUCUAAUUUUUUUCUACUUCUUUCCCUUUUUUGUGUCGAUCGCCAACCAUCAGGUGGUGAGAGUUGACCUCGCUUGGCAAGGAUCGGCCUGACCAAAUUUUGCAAGACUAGUCCAUGCCUAGGAAAGGCCCAAUGAGGGUUGGCCUGGCCAAAUUUGGCGAAGGGGUCCUCAGUGGCGCUCACGCUCACCCUCACCGGCACUUGCUCUUGCCCAUAACAAGCUCCACUGACCACUGGCAAAAAGAAAGGGAAGGAAACAGAAAGGUAAAAAAAAGAAAGGAAAAUAAAAUUUAAAAAAAUUAUUGAUAACUUAUAAAAAAAAAUUAUUCAUAUCAAUGCUAAUCAUGUUACUUGGGAUGUCUAGCGUCCACUUCAGUGAUUUUUUUUAUCAAAAUUAGUCAGAUGGACCACAUUGGUAAAUUAUCUAAAGGUUUAAAAUUUAAUUGGUCAAAUUAAAAAAUUUAGGACUAAAUUGAUAAAAGUACAAUAAAUUUAAGAAUCUAUUGGUAAUUUUCCCUCAAAUUGUGCCAUGGGCGCAAAGCUAAAGCGUCGCAACUCGCAAGCUUGGGAGAGAGGUAAUUGCUAGGGAUUCUGACUGGGUCAAUGUAAGUUCCUCCGACUAGUUAAAUUCUAGUUGGUUCACGCCAAAACGGGAGGAUUCUCGAGAAAUUCCUUAAUUAUAGUCCAACUGAAACAAUCUCCAUUAAAAAUGUCAUCUCAUCCUCAAAUCUUGUUUCCGCAUUCUCUUAUGAGAGAGAGAGAUAUAUAUAUAUAUAUACUUUUUUUUUCUCAAUUUUGUUAAUAUUUUGGAUCUUCUCCGGUUCAGAUAAAGUCAUUCACAUAAUUACAUGGCAGAAGAAAUUGUAAAUGUGAAGAAAAUCAGCCUGAAGCAUUUUUGUAUAGUGAAAUUCAUUAGACAAAGUAAGAUUGGGUUAUUCAUUACUCGUCAUUUUCUUAUAUUUGAAUAAGCUGGUCAAAUUGGAGAUUAAUUAACUUUGUUUUGUGCUUGCUUUUCUUCAUCUUCAUGCAAGGAAUACGAAUUUCAUUUUCCAACAAAAGGAGCAAGGCAAGGCUAAAGAAUAAAAAGGAAGAGACCAAAGGGAAAUGCACUCGGAAGUGCAUUGGCUACAAUAGAACUUCUCGGAAUUGUCUAUUUCUAGCAUCAAGAUAAGAAUAAUUCGGGGGAGAGGACACGGAUUUCAUUUUCCAACAAAAGGAGCAAGGCAAGAAUAAAGAGGGAAAAGGAAGAAACCAAAGAAAAAUGCACUCAGAUUGGGUACGGUAAAACUUCUAAAGAUUGUCUAUUUCUGGCACCAAGAUAAGAAUAAUGCAGAAGAGAGAAUUGUGUAAAUUUUAUAUAGUACUAUAUUAUUAUAUUAUGAUGUAGAGUGAGUGGCAUUAUUUAUAAGCAUUAUGAAAUG
rnacentral:lncRNA from 1 species